rnacentral:rRNA from 1 species
GAUGAACGCUGGCGGCGUGCCUAAUACAUGCAAGUCGAGCGAACGGACGAGAAGCUUGCUUCUCUGAUGUUAGCGGCGGACGGGUGAGUAACACGUGGAUAACCUACCUAUAAGACUGGGAUAACUUCGGGAAACCGGAGCUAAUACCGGAUAAUAUUUUGAACCGCAUGGUUCAAAAGUGAAAGACGGUCUUGCUGUCACUUAUAGAUGGAUCCGCGCUGCAUUAGCUAGUUGGUAAGGUAACGGCUUACCAAGGCAACGAUGCAUAGCCGACCUGAGAGGGUGUUCGGCAAACUGGGACUGGAGCACCGGCCAAGACCCUACGGGAGGCAGCAGUAGGGAAUCUUCCGCAAUGGGCGAAAGCCUGACGGAGCAACGCCGCGUGAGUGAUGAAGGUCUUCGGAUCGUAAAACUCUGUUAUUAGGGAAGAACAUAUGUGUAAGUAACUGUGCACAUCUUGACGGUACCUAAUCAGAAAGCCACGGCUAACUACGUG